rnacentral:tRNA from 1 species
AGCUCAUUGGUAGAGUGCAUGCCUUGCAAGCAUGAGGCCCUGGGUUCGAUUCCUCAG